GCGGGGAUAGGUCGGCGGAGGGGCGAGGCACCGCCGCCGCCUCCCCGGCCUCCCUCGCGCGUCGUCCGUCGACCACAACCACUGAUCUAAGCGUACAUGGAUGGUGGCAGCGGUGGGGAGGAGCCCUGCGACGACCUCGACGCCUGCUCCGUCGACCACAACCACUGCGUCCGCAAGAAAGCCGCAUGGGUUGGGGAUAUGCACUUCGGUUUUGGGUUCAAAUGGCAAUCGUUGAGCAUUUGUAUCACUAUCGAGGAUCUCAAGCACAUGGGUCACACUAUGAUCAAGUGCAUUCUGGUGCUAUGAUGAUUGUGACACAAGAUGUUAGCAGCAGAAGCAAUCGCUAUCCGUGAUCAUGAAAUUGUAUUGAGCAGAAUAGGAAAAAGAUAAUUUGAAAGCAAGAGGGGGAAAACUAGGGGGAAAACAGAUCAGGAGUGAAGAUGGCUGGUGGGAGGAGGGAUCAGGGGGAGGGAAGCAUGGUAUGAUGCCAGCCGCCGGCAAAUCGGCACUCGUGGUACUGUAGAGUUGUCCGCUGAAAUUGCUGCAGUUGAGGUUGAUGAUUAUGAGAUUUGUGCAGUUUUUAGAGUUGAUGGCAGCUCCCCAUACAUGAUAUUAUUGUUCAAAUAGAGUUCCUCCAAUCUCUUAAGAUGGCCUAUAGAAUGUGGAAUCCUGCCACUGAAAUUGUUCUCUACAACACGAGAUAAUCUCCUUAUAACAUUUGUU